GCAAAUCAUUGUCUCACUA
rnacentral:snRNA from 1 species